rnacentral:rRNA from 1 species
AUUGAACGCUGGCGGCAGGCCUAACACAUGCAAGUCGAACGAGUGGCGGACGGGUGAGUAAUGUCUGGGAAACUGCCCGAUGGAGGGGGGUAACUACUGGAAACGGUAGCUAAUACCGCAUACCAUCGGAUGUGCCCAGAUGGGAUUAGCUAGUAGGUGGGGUAACGGCUCACCUAGGCGACGAUCCCUAGCUGGUCUGAGAGGAUGACCAGCCACACUGGAAAUGAGACACGGUUCAGACUCCCACGGGAGGCAGCCGUGGGGAAUAUUGCAAAAUGGGCGCAAGCCUUAUGCAGCCCGACCGCGGGUAUGAAGAAGGCCUUCGGGUUUUAAAGUACUUUCAGCGAGGAGGCGUUACUCGCAGAAGAAGCACCGGCUAACUCCGUGCCAGCAGCCGCGGUAAUUC